rnacentral:snoRNA from 1 species
CCAAAAUCUAAAAGUAUGAUGCACUGGCAGAGACUAGCAGCAGAGCUCAAAGAAGCGCAGAACCGCCUCCAGAAUUUGCGAAAUUUGAAGGUUCAGUACAAUAUUGACUUAUCCGAAGAAAGUCCUAGUUCUAUCAGGUAUGAAGAUAGCCAAGUUCACACAAUCCAACACAUAAAGCAUAAUAACAAAAUUGUUGG